UGCGAAAAUUAUCUAAUGAUCAAGAAUAAUAUUAGACAUAGAAAGUCAGUAAAUUAUUUUUAGAGCUAAUGAACCCGCACUCUGACAGAUAAAUUGACAUUAUUUUGGCAUCUACCCGAGCCAAAAAACAUAUCAUAAACUCACCCAAAUGACGAUGGAUGAGAGAAAAAAAUAAACUAAAGAAGAGGAUAAACACAUGCCGUGAUGUUGAUACAUGAGGCAAUGAGGAAACCCAAAGCACACUAUCCAACAAAAAGUUGAAUGAUUAGAGAUAAGAGUCCUAAAAACUGAGUACAUGACAAACUGUAACAAAAACACAA